rnacentral:rRNA from 1 species
UACAGAGGUCCCGAGCGUUGUUCGGAUUCACUGGGCGUAAAGGGUGCGUAGGUGGUGAGGUAAGUCGGAUGUGAAAGCUCCAAGCUCAACUUGGAAAUGGCAUUGGAAACUACCUUGCUAGAGGGUUUGAGGGGGGACUGGAAUACUUGGUGUAGCAGUGAAAUGCGUAGAUAUCAAGUGGAACACCAGUGGCGAAGGCGAGUCCCUGGAAAACUCCUGACACUGAAGCACGAAAGCUAGGGGAGCAAACAGG